GCCUUAGUGGUGUAGUGGUGAGCACAUUCAGCGCGUAUUUCAAAGGUCCGAGGUUUGAGUCCCGGUGAGGGCA
rnacentral:tRNA from 1 species